CCAAAGACCUCUGUAUCACAAGUCAUAAUUGACUAUGGCAAAGGAUAAAAUAUGCUUUCUUUGGUUUUUGCAUUUUUCGAUAGGCCAUAGCAAUUACUUAGUGGAUAUUUGUUUACUACAAUUUAUGCGAUUCCACAGCAGGGUCAGGCACUGAGUGUCUUUCCAUUCCCAUCAGCUACUUGUCUCCACUGUGUUCUGUUGCUAGUGCUGUGCUCCUGAACUUUUAUAUGUAAUGCGAAGCUAACAGAUCUGGUCACACAACAGCUUGCGAGCUUCUGCUGCAAUGUUAAUUUACUUUGCCAAGACCGGUAAAUGUGUGCAGUGAAGGCCAGUGAAGGCCCGGGUUGUGGACAUGCUUCAUCAAUAAGUAGCAGAGGCUGGGACUGCGGACAGGUGGCUCAGCACUUAGGAAUGCUUGCUGCUUUUGCAGAUGGAUGAGUUUUGUUCUCAGAGCAGCUACUCCAGGUGACUCACCACCACCUGAGACUCCAGCUCCAGGGGAUCCAGUGCCCUCAUCUGGCUUCCUGCUCUGUCCAGAAUCUGGCCCCACUGAACACUUGUGGCAUUCACUCACACAGACACACACAUUACAGGGAAUGCACACGUGGACUACCAGACCUGGCCAACUGAAUCUUCUUUUAUGUAGCUGAAAGAAAACUUUGGGAUCUCUUUUCUUCACUUGUGCAUGUGCCUCUCUCAUCACACCGCCUCUUUCAACAAUCGAAUCUUCAGAAACGGGUACGCCACGUGCUCAACAACGAGGAGGCAGAAACUCACUAGACUUGACUUCCUUCGCACAACCCACUCUUUCCCCUGGAAAAACUGAUGUGUGGACCACUGUCUGACUGGCUCCUGCUCUCUUCAUCUUUCUGAUAUAUGGGGUGUACAACACAGAGGACGGCUGCACCUGAGAUUACACGUGGUUUCCCUUUGCUGUAGCCUUGAGGUAGGUUGGCAGUGAGACAAUUUUUUUUCCAACGGUACCUCUAAGGCGGUCUCAAGGACUCCUCCAGUAAAUGCAAAGGCACGCGAUAUUUCUGUCCCCCGCUGAAAGGAAGGAGUAACAGGUAUCUGCAAAAAUGCUAUUACGAGUUUAAUACUUUCAGACAGGAUCACAAGUGCCUCAAGGAAUCCAUUUCUAGAUCUGAUCUUGAUUCAAUACCUAGAUCGCAAGCCCUAAACAACAGAAAACG